rnacentral:rRNA from 1 species
GAUCAUGGCUCAGGACAAACGCUGGCGGCGUGCUUAACACAUGCAAGUCGAACGGAGUACCCGAGACAGAAGCUUCGGCAGACGUUUUGGAAUACUUAGUGGCGGACGGGUGAGUAACACGUGAGUAACCUGCCCCUGAGUGGGGGAUAACACACCGAAAGGUGUGCUAAUACCGCAUAAUAUACCUUUGCCGCAUGACAGAGGUAUCAAAGAUUUAUUGCUCAGGGAUGGGCUCGCGUCCG